AGGGUUGUAGCUUAGUGGUACAGCACUUGCCUUUCAUGCAGAAGGUCCUGAGUUCAAUUCCUGGCAUCCCCA